AACUAUACAAGAUUUAAUGAAUCUUUUGAACUAGGUUGAUCAUUUAUGCUCUUACAAUUUUUUAAAAUAAUAUAUUGAUUUUAAAAAUUACAUGUAUAUUCUAUAAGUAAAUUAAUAUCAAAUGUGUAUGUUUACACACACACUUACUCACAAAGACACCCAAAUGCACAAUAAAUUAACCAAUACAACCAUAAUAGUAAUUUCCCCUUCUUUGUUUAAUUAUUGUUUUUAAUUUUCAAUUAUUCUGAGGUUGUGUGUGUAAAAUCAGUGAUUUUCUCGUUAGUUAUGCAUAGACUGUGAGAGGAAAGGUACAAGUUAUAUCUCCCACAAGUCUAAUCAGCGGCCCUAGAUGAUGUAGGACAGUUGAUAAAGUCUUUUGAAUAUUUGGAAAAUCUAGAGAAAAUUCAAGAAAGCGAUUUGCAACUUUCAAUAAUAAUGGAGAAAAACACAACCAGGCUUUUACAUUGAAAAAUAUAUUAUAACAAAUAAAUAAAUAAAUAAAUAAAUAAACCUACAAAUAAAUAGGCUGAGCUGGCAAGCCAAGCAAUCUGGGCUGGAGUGAGUACCUUUCAUUUGGUGUUGCCAGUGGUCCUUUCUUGCCAAGCUUGUGUUAACUUAUGGUAACCCUACAGCUCAUUGUUGACUUCGUUUCCACACCACUCUACAGCACCUCCAAAAAAAAACAUAUAUAUAUAUAUAUAUAUAUAUAUAGAUACCCACCCCACUAUAAAUCUAUUCUAUGCACAAACUUUGCCCAUUCUAAUCAGUGCAAGAACCAGAAAACUGGAUGGUCAAAGUGUUUUACAUUCCAAUCAGAAACUGAAUUGGAUUAAUUCAUCUACAUGUAUGUUUGUGUAGAUUACCCAUAAACAAACUACUCCACUUCGAAGAAAUCCAAUGCGGUGGAUUCAUACCAUGGCGCUGAAGCAUGAAAAAUGUAGAAGAUUCAGAUUACAAGGCUUUUUUUCUGCUUCAGUUGUGGACCAAAGGAAUUCCAAAUCCCCUGCACUAAUUGACAGUUACCUGCGACGUGGUUACAGCAGCACCACACAAAGUGCGUGAGGUCGAAAUCCAACAUCCAGUAGUUGAUUAUUCACAAGAGGGGCUUGAAACCAAAGAACCAGAUCAGUGUGUUUUUCCAAGACAAGUCACGGUGUUGUGUUUUUAGAGUUAGAACGAUGGUGGUUACGCUGGUGAGGUUGCUCUUUUUCGAAGUGGGUUCACCUUGCAGUAAAAAACGCUGAUUCUGUGAGGAAGCAACGGAGGAAAGUCUACACAUACGAGACCAAAGCGACAAAAUCAUCGAGCCAGCCCCCGGCUUAGAAGAAUCUACUGUAGAGAUUAUAUCUUGGCCCUAGUACCGUGUACCGAUUCGGGUUAGGAAUGCCCCCACUUUAGUAAUCAAUAAAGCUCCCCAGCAAAUAGUGACACAGGGGCGCUUUUUCUCUUGCUUUAAGCAGUUUAUUUGAUUGCAAUAAGCUGAUGAAACCGCAACGUGAUCCCUCACGAAGCUCACACAACUUCUGCAGGGCGAGGAUCAGACCCACU
rnacentral:lncRNA from 1 species